rnacentral:rRNA from 1 species
GCCUCAAGUGAUGUGUGACUACCC